rnacentral:rRNA from 1 species
GACGAACGCUGGCGGCGUGCUUAACACAUGCAAGUCGAACGGACAGGCCCUGCUUUUGUGGGGUGCUCGAGUGGCGAACGGGUGAGUAACACGUGAGUAACCUGCUCUUGACUUUGGGAUAACUUCAGGAAACUGGGGCUAAUACCGGAUAGGAGCUCCUGCUGCAUGGUGGGGGUUGGAAAGUUUCGGCGGUUGGGGAUGGACUCGCGGCUUAUCAGCUUGUUGGUGGGGUAGUGGCUUACCAAGGCUUUGACGGGUAGCCGGCCUGAGAGGGUGACCGGCCACAUUGGGACUGAGGUACGGCCCAGACGCCUACGGGAGGCAGCAGGGGGGAAUAUUGCACAAUGGGCGGAAGCCUGAUGCAGCAACGCCGCGUGCGGGAUGACGGCCUUCGGGUUGUAAACCGCUUUCGCCUGUGACGAAGCGUGAGUGACGGUAAUGGGUAAAGAAGCACCGGCUAACUACGUG